GACGCCCACAUCACGAUGAAACGAGUUCCCGAACGAUCGCCGAAGUUAAGCAACGUCGAGUCUAGUCAGUACCUAAAUGGGUGACCGCUUGGGAAAACCAGGGGCUGUAAG